rnacentral:misc_RNA from 1 species
AUCACAGAUCCCCAUCCUCUGUUGGUUCAGUCCUCCAUCCAAAAACACCUGUAUGUACCCCUGGGACUUCCUACCCAAUGAUUGAGUUUCCUGUUUAUCAGCGCAGGCUUCCCAUCCCUGGUCAGGCAAGGGAGACCAAAGUUCUGCUUCUUGAGGCUUGGAUGUCUGUUGUUGCAAAGCCCUGUUUAGUAAAUGUGAGUGCAUAGGCCUUGGAGCAUUCCAUUCAGAGAAAACGGAAGGAUAAGAGCGGCUAAGAGGAGAGAAAAGACUGGGAAACAGACUUGGUAGAAGAAGCAUCAAAAGUCCACCCAUUUGCAGGGGCCAUGCCAUUCUCCGACUCGUCGGAAUCUGCCGG